AUGGGGAAGAAUUUAAUAUUGCUAAUAUCAAUAUUAANNNNCGUUACCCAUAUAAGAAGCACCGGCUAACUCCGUGCCAGCAGCCGCGGUAAUACGGAGGGUGCAAGCGUUAAUCGGAAUUACUGGGCGUAAAGAGUACGUAGGUGGUUUAUUAAGUCAAAUGUGAAAUCCCUGAGCUUAACUUAGGAACUGCAUUUGAAACUGAUAAGCUAGAGUUUCGUAGAGGGGGGUAGAAUUCCAGGUGUAGCGGUGAAAUGCGUAGAGAUCUGGAGGAAUACCAGUGGCGAAGGCGGCCCCCUGGACGAAGACUGACACUCAGGUACGAAAGCAUGGGGAGCAAACAGGAUUAGAUACCCUGGUAGUCCAUGCUGUAAACGAUGUCGAUUUGAAGGUUGUAACCUUUGAGUUGUAACUUUCGAAGCUAACGCGUUAAAUCGACCGCCUGGGGAGUACGACCGCAAGGUUAAAACUCAAAUGAAUUGACGGGGGCCCGCACAAGCGGUGGAGCAUGUGGUUUAAUUCGAUGCAACACGAAGAACCUUACCUACUCUUGACAUCCAAAGAACUGCGUAGAGAUAUGCAGGUGCCUUCGGGAACUUUGAGACAGGUGCUGCAUGGCUGUCGUCAGCUCGUGUUGUGAAAUGUUGGGUUAAGUCCCGCAACGAGCGCAACCCUUAUCCUUUGUUGCCAACGAGUUAAGUCGGGAACUCAAAGGAGACUGCCGGUGAUAAACCGGAGGAAGGUGAG
rnacentral:rRNA from 1 species